AAGCGGUGCCGAGGAGGCAAUGGAACAGUGCCCCUCUUUACUCCCUAAUUUCCUCCCGUCCCGGUCAAAGCGGUGCCGAGGAGGCAAUGGAACAGUCCAGACUCUCCACGACUCCACUUCUUUCUCUUGGAUUUCCACCGAUCCGGUAAAAAAACAUCUGGGUGACGCGUGCCGAUUUUGCCGCUGCGACAUACGGAGUUGUGGUGGCGGUGACGCCAUCGGUCUGGAGGUGGAACGGUGAGCAGGGAGCACCGACGACAGAGACGCCCACGGCGGCGAGCCGGUGGCCAGCGGCUACACGCAGCGGUGCGUAGCGGUGGGCGAACCGGAGGAUCUCGAUCUUCGCCGGCGCGCCCUCGGCUCCAUGGCUUCUGCUAGCGGCGUCGUUUGGCCGCCGGCGCGACCAUGGCUCCACUACCACAUUCAAACUGUGAAAAGAUCGACGGGGUCCGGGGUUACCACAAGGGCAGCAGACCAUGCCCCUAUCCACUUCCUUGGGGGUUCUAUUCAUGCUCAACAGGGAAAUGAGACUCGAGGUCCUGAGCCCGUUUUGCUGCAGAGAUGGGCAGUUGUGGACUUGCAGAGAGCCGAAUGAUGGAAAGUUGCUGCUGGGGAAGAACGGAGUAGAGUACGGGAUGUGCAUCUCAAUAAACCAAUGUUUCUUGAUUAAUAUGGAGCAUGCCUUAGCAAAUCAUGAAUCAGUUUGGCUUGAUUUGUGUAUGUUAAAUAUGCAGUUGAAAUCUUGGGAAAAUAUCUUCUCUAGAUGACUUGCAAGCCAUACCAUGGAAUCAAGCAUGGACACCAUCUGUAGGUGUUUGCAAAGAAACAUUAAGGAAACUAAGUGUUCGAGGGGUUUGAUUGCAAGGUUACUUCUUAGUUGGGUCACAUCUUAUGAGGUAUUGCUCAUACAGAUACAUGAGCAUCGUCAAUCAUGAGACCACCUGUGGAUUGCCAAUAUCAUCUACCAGAUUGAUCUACAUGUCAUGACAUCCAUUUCGUUGGAGAAUUUUACUGCCAAACAAUAUGCAGCAUCACCUCUAAACAGUGCUUUGUAGGCAAGCAUUCAGUAUGUGAUAGCAUGGCCUUCUCAUAUAUCUUUUCGCAAUUGUGGGAUUUUAGAGAGCCUUUUGCAUAAAGAUAAAACUUAAAUCUAAGGAAUUCAUAUGUGUUCAGGGGUCAGUAAAGGUGCUCUUGAUUUACAUUUUCAGCUCUGUUCAGAACUUAUUUGAUGUUCUUAGUCAUGUGUAGUACUAUUUACAUUUGAAUGCAAGUCAGAAUUGUACUUUUACCAUGGGUUGUUGGUCUCCUUGAUAGUACUCAGUACUGACCAGGAUAACCUUGGGAUUAAGUUUUACAUGGACUUUAUAUGUAGCCGUUGUAUAUGCUGGAAAGCUGCAUUGAACUUAAACUAUCGGAAGACAUAGAAAGCACACUUCUAUUCUUGGUACAUAAUUACCUACCUUUGACUUUCUAAAUGAACAAUGCAGUUUCUGUCCAUCUGAGUUUCCAUUAGUCCAUUAUCUAUAAUUUUCUGGGGAUGGUCUGUUCACC